GUACUCCGUAGUGCAGUGGUUAGCACACUCGGUUCACGACCGAGAGAUCCCGGGUUCGAUCCCCGGGCGGAGCGGAGACA